rnacentral:rRNA from 1 species
AUUGAACGCUGGCGGCAGGCUUAACACAUGCAAGUCGAGCGGGGUGAUGGUGCUUGCACUAUCACUUAGCGGCGGACGGGUGAGUAAUGCUUAGGAAUCUGCCUAUUAGUGGGGGACAACAUUCCGAAAGGAAUGCUAAUACCGCAUACGUCCUACGGGAGAAAGCAGGGGAUCUUCGGACCUUGCGCUAAAUGAUGAGCCAAAGUCGGAUUAGCUAGUUGGUGGGGUAAAGGCCUACCAAGGAGACGAUCUGUAGCGGGUCUGGGAGGAUGAUCCGCCACACUGGGACUGAGACACGGCCCAGACUCCUACGGGAGGCAGCAGUGGGGAAUAUUGGACAAUGGGCGGAAGCCUGAUCCAGCCAUGCCGCGUGUGUGAAGAAGGCCUUUUGGUUGUAAAGCACUUUAAGCGAGGAGGAGGCUACUAGUACUAAUACUACUGGAUAGUGGACGUUACUCGCAGAAUAAGCACCGGCUAACUCUGUGCCAGCCGCCGCGGUAA